rnacentral:rRNA from 1 species
ACAGAGGGGGCAAGCGUUAUUCGGAAUUAUUGGGCGUAAAGGGCGCGUAGGCGGCCUUGUAAGUCUUGGGUGAAAUCCCUCAGCUCAACUGAGGAACUGCCUCGGAAACUGCAAGGCUUGAGGCCGGGAGAGGGUAGUGGAAUUCCCAGUGUAGCGGUGAAAUGCGUAGAUAUUGGGAGGAACACCGGUGGCGAAGGCGGCUACCUGGACCGGUUCUGACGCUGAUGCGCGAAAGCGUGGGUAGCAAACAGGAUUAGAUACCCUGGUAGUCCACGCUGUAAACGAUGGGUGCUCGGUGUCGCGGGUAUCGACCCCUGCGGUGCCUUAGUUAACACGUUAAGCACCCCGCCUGGGGAGUACGGUCGCAAGGCUG